UACGUAGGUGGCGAGCGUUGUCCGGAUUUACUGGGCGUAAAGAGCGCGCAGGCGGUCGUACAAGUCGCGUGUGAAAGCCCCCGGCUCAACUGGGGAGGGUCACGCGAUACUGUUCGACUCGAAGGCAGGAGAGGGAAGUGGAAUUCCCGGUGUAGUGGUGAAAUGCGUAGAUAUCAGGAAGAACACCCGUGGCUAAGGCGGCUCUCUAGUACGGUACUGACGCUGAGACGCGAAAGCGUGGGGAGCGAACAGG
rnacentral:rRNA from 1 species